rnacentral:rRNA from 1 species
CUGGGUGACGAGCGGCGGACGGGUGAGUAAUGUCUGGGAAACUGCCUGAUGGAGGGGGAUAACUACUGGAAACGGUAGCUAAUACCGCAUAACGUCUUCGGACCAAAGAGGGGGACCUUCGGGCCUCUUGCCAUCAGAUGUGCCCAGAUGGGAUUAGCUAGUAGGUGAGGUAAUGGCUCACCUAGGCGACGAUCCCUAGCUGGUCUGAGAGGAUGACCAGCCACACUGGAACUGAGACACGGUCCAGACUCCUACGGGAGGCAGCAGUGGGGAAUAUUGCACAAUGGGCGCAAGCCUGAUGCAGCCAUGCCGCGUGUAUGAAGAAGGCCUUCGGGUUGUAAAGUACUUUCAGCGAGGAGGAAGGCGUUGUGGUUAAUAACCC